UACGUAGGGUGCAAGCGUUAAUCGGAAUUACUGGGCGUAAAGCGUGCGCAGGCGGUUUUGUAAGUCUGUCGUGAAAUCCCCGGGCUCAACCUGGGAAUUGCGAUGGAGACUGCAAGGCUAGAAUCUGGCAGAGGGGGGUAGAAUUCCACGUGUAGCAGUGAAAUGCGUAGAGAUGUGGAGGAACACCGAUGGCGAAGGCAGCCCCCUGGGACGUUACUGACGCUGAGACGCGAAAGCGUGGGGAGCAAACAGG
rnacentral:rRNA from 1 species